CGCGCAUUGACGAACAAGGUAUGGACAGCUGCAGCAGAAUUCAUUUUUCAUUCUGAUUGACGAACGUUGUCUACUGGUGAUAUGAACAAUCGAGCUCUAGUGGGUAAAAUCUAGAAAGACGGUCUUGAUUGGUACUGAGAUGUUCUCUCGUACCUCGUUUGGACACACUCAGUUACACUUAAUAAGGGACGUUGUCAUGAAAUUGAAUAGACAAAUCGAUGGAGAAGGUGUUAAGCUAAGGAAGGCUGGAAAACUAAAACGAAGGAAGUAUUACAAUAAAGGACCGAAUUAUGUAUGGCACCUUGAUGGUUAUGACAAAGUGAAGCCAUUGGCAUAUGCAUACAUGGUUGUAUUGACGGGUACUCUUGAAGAAUUAUGUGGUUGUGGGCAAGUAAAACAAACAAUGACCCUAAAGUUAUUGCUGGAUACUACUUUAAGUCCAUCAGAGAAAUUGGAGGGUGUCCCCGGGUAGUGCGAGCAGACAGAGGCACUGAGAAUAUAACAAUUGCUUUUGUUCAGCCAUUUCUAAGGCACUAUGGGACAGACAGCCUAGCCAAAACUAAGACUUUUUGGUACGGGAAAUCUAACACAAACCAGCAAAUUGAGUCAUGGUGGGGUCAGUUAAGGAAAAGAUGCAUGCAAUGGUGGAUGAACUUUUUCAAAGAUAUGCAACUUUCAGCAAAAUUUGAUGAUUCAAACCCAUUGCAUAGGAAUGCCCUUUGAUUUUGUUUUAUGGAUCUUAUCGACAAUGAACUUCAAAUUGUGAAGCAGUAGUGGAACAAACAUACAAUUCGCCUUUCCAGGUAUACAGAUACUCCCCCAGGGAUUCCUAAUGCUUUGUACUUUUACCCACAACUGAAAGGUGCAAAUUGCUACAAGUGUCCUGUAACUGAAGAACAGUUGGCUGCUGUAGAGAAGCAUGUAUCAGAUCCACCACCUGCUGCUUCCCCUGAAUUCUGUUCAAUCGCACAGUAUGCUAUGAGGAAAAACAACAUUAUAGAAACACCAAAAUCAGCAGCAGAGCGGCUUGCACUGUAUGAGCAACUAGUUAAAGCUGUGACAGACCAUGACUCUGCCACAUUGGCAUAGGAAUUGUUAUUGUGUUUGGCUGAGAUGCCACAAUGUAUCACAACGUUUACUGGUUUAGUGCAUGUAUGGCGAAGUUGAAGUGUAGACAGAAAUAUAAUUUAAUUGUUUAGGGGUCUUCUA